rnacentral:rRNA from 1 species
UACGUAGGGUGCGAGCAUUAAUCGGAAUUACUGGGCGUAAAGGGUGCGCAGGCGGCUUGCUAAGACAGGUGUGAAAGCCCCGAGCUUAACUUGGGAAUGGCGCUUGUGACUGGCAGGCUGGAGUGUGGCAGAGGGAGGUGGAAUUCCACGUGUAGCAGUGAAAUGCGUAGAGAUGUGGAGGAACACCGAUGGCGAAGGCAGCCUCCUGGGCCAACACUGACGCUCAUGCACGAAAGCGUGGGGAGCAAACAGG